rnacentral:rRNA from 1 species
CGCGGUGAAUACGUUCCCGGGCCUUGUACACACCGCCCGUCAAACCAUGGAAGCCGGGGGGGCCUGAAGUCGGUGCUCGUGAGAAGCCGCCUAGGGUAAGACCGGUGACUGGGGUU